GGGCUUCACACGUCAUACAAUGGUGCGUACAGAGGGUUGCCAACCCGCGAGGGGGAGCCAAUCCCAGAAAACGCAUCGUAGUCCGGAUCGUAGUCUGCAACUCGACUACGUGAAGCUGGAAUCGCUAGUAAUCGCGGAUCAGCAUGCCGCGGUGAAUA
rnacentral:rRNA from 1 species